rnacentral:rRNA from 1 species
CGCGGUAAUUCCAGCUCCAAUAGCGUAUACUAAAGUGUUGCAGUUAAAAAGCUCGUAGUUGGAUUUCUGGCGGGGACGGCUGGUCGGUCUCGAAAGGGGCUGUACUGUUGCUGGUUCCCGUCAUCCUUGGGGAGAGCGGCUCUUACAUUAAGUUGUCGGCGUCGGGAUCCCUAUCUUUUACUGUGAAAAAAUUAGAGUGUUCAAAGCAGGCUUAGGCCCUGAAUACAUUAGCAUGGAAUAAUAAGAUACGACCUUGGUGGUCUAUUUUGUUGGUUUGCACGCCAAGGUAAUGAUUAAUAGGGAUAGUUGGGGGUAUUCGUAUUCAAUUGUCAGAGGUGAAAUUCUUGGAUUUAUGGAAGACGAACUACUGCGAAAGCAUUUACCAAGGAUGUUUUCAUUAAUCAAGAACGAAAGUUAGGGGAUCGAAGAUGAUUAGAUACCAUCGUAGUCUUAACCAUAAACUAUGCCGACUAGGGAUCGGUGGGUGCAUUUUUAGGCCUCAUCGGCACCUUAUGAGAAAUCAAAGUCUUUGGGUUCCGGGGGGAGUAUGGUCGCAAGGCUGAAACUUAAAGAAAUUGACGG